CAUAGCCUUUAGCAGUAUAAGUAUUAAAGGUCCCGCCUGCCCAGUGAAACUUUUUAACGGCCGCGGUAUUCUAACCGUGCAAAGGUAGCGUAAUCACUUGUCUUCUAAAUAAAGACCAGUAUGAACGGCUAAAUGAGGACAAGCCUGUCUCUAAUAACUAAUCAGUGAAACUGAUCUUCCAGUACAAAAGCUGGAAUACAGACAUAAGACGAGAAGACCCCGUGGAGCUUAAAACAAAGUACUAACCAUCCCAGGCCCUAGUACCCUGUUUUGAGUUGGGGCGACUUCGGAAUAAAACAUAACUUCCGAGCACAGAACCACCAGUUCGAGCCAAGGCCAACAAGCCUAAGCAAAACAUGGACCCGGCCCAUGCCGAUCAACGAACCAAGUUACCCCGGGGAUAACAGCGCUAUCUUCUUCAAGAGUCCCUAU
rnacentral:rRNA from 1 species